rnacentral:rRNA from 1 species
UGGGGAAUAUUGGGCAAUGGAGGAAACUCUGAUCCAGCAAUGCCGCGUGUGUGAAGAAGGCCUGCGGGUUGUAAAGCACUUUUGUCCGGAACGAAAAGCUCGUGGUUAAUACCCAUGGGUGCUGACGGUACCGGAAGAAUAAGCACCGGCUAACUUCGUGCCAGCAGCCGCGGUAAUACGAAGGGUGCAAGCGUUAAUCGGAAUUACUGGGCGUAAAGCGUGCGUAGGUGGGUGGUUAAGUCUGAUGUG